UCUGAGGCUUGAAUUGCCAGAGGGUAGGGAGACCCCACAAAAAGAAAAAAGAAAAGCACAGGGGAGGGAGGGAGAGUGUGAAAUGGUGAAAUAGCGAAAGAGAGAAAGAAAAACACAGACAGCGAUUGGUCAAUUGAAAGAUCGCGGAUAUUUGCCGGAUCACAGUUUUAUCAUCCUUUAGGUCAGUGGUUCUCAGACUGGGGAGGGAACAGAGCCGCUGCAGGGAUGUGUGGAAGAUAUGGAGUGGAACAAAUGGACGUCCUGACUGUGGCAGAACACGGCAGCGUGGUGUACAAGCCUAAAACAACAGGCCAAAAUAUUACAAAUAGGCUACGGUGGUUGAACUUGAGAAUGCAUUGAGUAUUAAAGACGAGGCAGCUGAUGUAAUCCACAGCAACUGUUACACAACAUCGCAAUUUCCCUCCAAUAUACAAGUCACACUAAACAUCCCAUUCAGAGGCUGUUUAACAAGCCAGUGAAUGUGAAUUCAGAGACAAGGCUUUAGAGACCCCCAGUGGAUAACCAGAGAACUGAAUGUGCGCAGGUUAACCUUUGCAUUAUUAUUAUCAUCUAUCAAGAAGAGGAAGAUCGGGGAGAUCAAAUGACUGUUGCAUUAUGUUUUGCCAAAGUCAAAAUGUCAAAAUAAAUGUUAAAUUCCUGUUCAGCUGUCAUUUAU